GAGGAGGAGCUUGCUUCUCUGGAUGAGUUGCGAACGGGUGAGUAACGCGUAGGUAACCUGCCUGGUAGCGGGGGAUAACUAUUGGAAACGAUAGCUAAUACCGCAUAAGAGUAGAUGUUGCAUGACAUUUGCUUAAAAGGUGCAAUUGCAUCACUACCAGAUGGACCUGCGUUGUAUUAGCUAGUUGGKGGGGUAACGGCUCACCAAGGCGACGAUACAUAGCCGACCUGAGAGGGUGAUCGGCCACACUGGGACUGAGACACGGCCCAGACUCCUACGGGAGGCAGCAGUAGGGAAUCUUCGGCAAUGGACGGAAGUCUGACCGAGCAACGCCGCGUGAGUGAAGAAGGUUUUCGGAUCGUAAAGCUCUGUUGUAAGAGAAGAACGAGUGUGAGAGUGGAAAGUUCACACUGUGACGGUAUCUUACCAGAAAGGGACGGCUAACUACGUGCCAGCAGCCGCGGUAAUACGUAGGUCCCGAGCGUUGUCCGGAUUUAUUGGGCGUAAAGCGAGCGCAGGCGGUUAGAUAAGUCUGAAGUUAAAGGCUGUGGCUUAACCAUAGUACGCUUUGGAAACUGUUUAACUUGAGUGCAAGAGGGGAGAGUGGAAUUCCAUGUGUAGCGGUGAAAUGCGUAGAUAUAUGGAGGAACACCGGUGGCGAAAGCGGCUCUCUGGCUUGUAACUGACGCUGAGGCUC
rnacentral:rRNA from 1 species